GGGGUAGAGGCCCGCCGCGGUAACGACGGGUAACGGGGAAUCAGGGUUCGAUUCCGGAGAGGGAGCCCGAGAAACGGCUACCACUUCCAAGGAAGGCAGCAGGCGCGCAACUUACCCUAAUCUCGAUUCGAGGAGGUAGUGACAAGAAAUACCGAUGCGGGACCCUACGGGUGCCGCGUUCGGAAUGAGUACGAUUCGAACCACCUAACGAGGAACGAUCGGAGGGCAAGUCUGGUGCCAGCAGCCGCGGUAAUUCCAGCUCCAAUAGCGUACGUUAAAGUUGCUGCAGUUAAAAAGCUCGUAGUUGAACGUUCGGGUUCCGCGGGACGGGGCCGCCCCGCCGAGGGACGGCGCCGCCCCGGGGCUCGUGAUAUCUUAUCUCGCCGCCCGUCGCGAGGCGGACGGAGGGAGUGGAUGAGGUUACCUGGAAAAAAU
rnacentral:rRNA from 1 species